rnacentral:misc_RNA from 1 species
GAAAAAAAAAAAAACUGUUCCAAGGCCCCAGUUCAAUAAUAUCACCACCAAAUUUGAUGGUAGAAAUAUAACUUAAAUGGUGUUACAACUUCUAUGUUGUCCACAAAAAUGAAAUAGGAUUUUGUUUUGGUUCAGAAAAAACGAAGUACCAUGACUGCCAUACUGUAACAUGUCAAAAACACCGACAAGGUAUACAUUCGCAGAAGAGCUCUUUUUUUUUUUUUUUGGAUCAAGUUGUCUAUAAUUCUAGCCAUAUUGAAUUAGCUAUGAGCAAUACAGUCAUAUAAUAUACUAAGACUCCUUUUCGUUUUAUGCUCUUCAUUCAUUCCAGGACAAUUCUAGUUAUUUGAAUACCUUUUAGACCCCAAAUCCAUUAAGGUUCCAGAAUUAAGGAUCCUAUGUUUUUUUUUAAUCAAAAUUAAUCAAUUAGACAUAAAAUUAACGGCAUGUAGCCAUGUCCAAGCCCUUUCAUUAUAAAUGGAUUUCCAAAUGCAUUUAGUCAUGUCAAAGCCCUUCCAUCAUCUAUGGAGCUUCCCAGUACGUAAUACAAAACCUGCAUCAGUGAUGCCAAUUCCACUAACAAAUUGGCCAAAUGCUCCAGUAGUGCAGGUGUGAGAAUCAGUAACCAACAGAACCUUAAAACUUGAAUUUGAGAUUUGACAAAGUAACCUUAUUGUUGCACUUGCACCAAGGCGACUCCUCAAAUGCACACACACUGGAACAAACUUCACAAAUACCUCGUUGACCAAUCUAUGGAAUGUCAAGAUGAAGAGGAUGAUUAUUGAAAGUAAGGGGCGCAUGGUUCUUGGGGGUUCCGAACUGAACUGAACUUAUUUUACUAUUUUAGUUCAGUUUGGUUUUUCACUAAGAACUAAACAAGAACCAAUUUUAUACAUAAGUUUUUCUAUUUUUUUUAGAUAUAUUAUAUCAAUUUAAUUAUAUAAUAGUACACAGUUAGGAUUAUGACAACUUACUAUUAUCUUUCAUUCCUCUAUCUCUUCUUAACAAUUUUAGUUAUAAAUACAUUAAA